AGCGAACGCUGGCGGCAGGCUUAACACAUGCAAGUCGAACGGGCCCUUUCGGGGGUCAGUGGCAGACGGGUGAGUAACACGUGGGAACGUGCCCUUCGGUUCGGAAUAACUCAGGGAAACUUGAGCUAAUACCGGAUACGCCCUUUUGGGGAAAGGUUGACUGCCGAAGGAUCGGCCCGCGUCUGAUUAGCUUGUUGGUGGGGUAAUGGCCUACCAAGGCGACGACCAGUAGCUGGUCUGAGAGGAUGAUCAGCCACACUGGGACUGAGACACGGCCCAGACUCCUACGGGAGGCAGCAGUGGGGAAUAUUGGACAAUGGGCGCAAGCCUGAUCCAGCCAUGCCGCGUGAGUGAUGAAGGCCUUAGGGUUGUAAAGCUCUUUUGUCCGGGACGAUAAUGACGGUACCGGAAGAAUAAGCCCCGGCUAACUUCGUGCCAGCAGCCGCAGUAAAAC
rnacentral:rRNA from 1 species